rnacentral:rRNA from 1 species
UACGUAGGGGGCAAGCGUUGUCCGGAUUUAUUGGGCGUAAAGAGCGUGUAGGCGGCCAGACAGGUCCGUUGUGAAAACUCGAGGCUCAACCUCGAGAUGUCGAUGGAAACCGUCUGGCUAGAGUCCGGAAGAGGAGUGUGGAAUUCCUGGUGUAGCGGUGAAAUGUGUAGAGAUCGGGAGGAACACCGGUGGCGAAGGCGGGUCUCUGGACAGUUCCUGACGCUGAGGCACGAAGGCCAGGGGAGCAAACGGG